UUAAGUUCAGCGGGUAUCCCUACCUGAUCCGAGGUCAACCUGUGGAAAGGUUUUGACGGCGGAGGUCGACCGGUGCUCCCGACGUUCGAACUGUGAGAUUCUUAACACGCCGGGGGUCGGUGUCCUCGCCGAUGCAUUUCAGGCGGGCCCGCCCACGGGGGGGGCGGGCCGGGCGCCCAAUACCAAGCGGGGCUUGAUUG
rnacentral:misc_RNA from 1 species